AUUGAACGCUGGCGGCAUGCCUUACACAUGCAAGUCGAACGGCAGCGGGGACUUCGGUCCGCCGGCGAGUGGCGAACGGGUGAGUAAUGUAUCGGAACGUACCAUUGAGUGGGGGAUAACGUAGCGAAAGUUACGCUAAUACCGCAUAUUCUCUCCGGAGGAAAGCAGGGGACCGCAAGGCCUUGCGCUCUUUGAGCGGCCGAUAUCAGAUUAGCUAGUUGGUGAGGUAAAGACUCACCAAGGCGACGAUCUGUAGCGGGUCCGAGAGGAUGAUCCGCCACACUGGAACUGAGACACGGUCCAGACUCCUACGGGAGGGAGCAGUGGGGAAUUUUGGACAAUGGGGGCAACCCUGAUCCAGCCAUGCCGCGUGAGUGAAGAAGGCCUUCGGGUUGUAAAGCUCUUUCGGCCGGGAAAAAAUCGCAUGGGCUAAUACCCUGUGUGGAUGAUGGUACCGGAAUAAGAAGCACCGGCUAACUACGUGCCAGCCGCCGCCGUAA
rnacentral:rRNA from 1 species